rnacentral:rRNA from 1 species
CUACGGGUCGCAGCAGUGAGGAAUAUUGCACAAUGGGGGGAACCCUGAUGCAGCAACGCCGCGUGGAGGAUGACGCAUUUCGGUGUGUAAACUCCUUUUAUAUGUCAAGAAAAUGACGGUAGCAUAUGAAUAAGCACCGGCUAACUCCGUGCCAGCAGCCGCGGUAAUACGGAGGGUGCAAGCGUUACUCGGAAUCACUGGGCGUAAAGGACGCGUAGGCGGGUUGGAAAGUCAGGUGUGAAAUCCUACAGCUUAACUGUAGAACUGCACUUGAAACUUCUAAUCUAGAGUAUGGGAGGGGGAGAUGGAAUUAGUGGUGUAGGGGUAAAAUCCGUAGAUAUCACUAGGAAUACCUAAAGCGAAGGCGAUCUCCUGGAACAUUAUUGACGCUGAGACGCGAAAGCGUGGGGAGCAAACAGGAUUAGAUACCCGGGUAGUC